rnacentral:misc_RNA from 1 species
GCAGAGACCAGUUGUUUCCGGGAACAAUAUUGUGCAACCACCCAGAUUUCGAGCAAGUGAUAGGGAUUCGGGAAGCAGUGAUUCUGGUCGAGGGGGGUAUCAACCUCAGCCACCGCAGCAUCAGGAGCUUGUGAGCCAGUACAGGACCGCCCUUGCGGAGCUGACUUUCAAUUCCAAACCAAUCAUCACGAAUUUGACCAUAAUCGCGGGUGAAAAU